rnacentral:tRNA from 1 species
ACGGCGUAGCUCAACUGGAUAGAGCCCCCGUUUUCGACGACGCUUGCGAAGUAGCAUCGCGCUAUUUUACGAGCGUCGGGCGGGGAGAUGUGGGUUCGAUUCCCACCGACCGUCCCA